AGCGAACGCUGGCGGCAGGCCUAACACAUGCAAGUCGAACGAACCUUUCGGGGUUAGUGGCGGACGGGUGAGUAACACGUGGGAACGUGCCUUUAGGUUCGGAAUAACUCAGGGAAACUUGUGCUAAUACCGAAUGUGCCCUUCGGGGGAAAGAUUAAUCGCCUUUAGAGCGGCCCGCGUCUGAUUAGCUAGUUGGUUGAGGUAAUGGCUCACCAAGGCGACGAUCAGUAGCUGGUCAGAGAGGAUGAUCAGCCACAUUGGGACUGAGACACGGCCCAAACUCCUACGGGAGGCAGCAGUGGGGAAUCUUGCGCAAUGGGCGAAAGGCUGACGCAGCCAUGCCGCGUGAAUGAUGAAGGUCUUAGGAUUGUAAAAUUCUUUCACCGGGGACGAUAAUGACGGUACCCGGAGAAGAAGCCCCGGCUAACUUCGUG
rnacentral:rRNA from 1 species